GAAGAGUUAGUCUAAUAAGACAGUUGAUUUCGACUCAACAAAUUAUGGUUUAAUUCCAUAACACUUCU
rnacentral:tRNA from 1 species